GAGACUAAGCCAGACCCAUAGGCAUUGCCAGUUCCAAGGCACAAAGCCAGGAAAGUCUCUGAGAAGUCCUGCAAUAGAGAACUCCUGUCUCUCCUCCUUUAGGCAAGAGUCUCACGUAAAACUAUUUUUCCAUGUAUGAUUUUCCAAAGAACAUGGUUCCUCUGAAAAUCUUCUGGGGAAUGGGUAGCCCUGGUUUCAGGAGGCAGGGAGGAGCAGCCCUUCUCAUUCAAGUCAUGUUCUAAGUUGUGCCCCUAAUAGGCAGGGUGUUAGCAACAGUUGAAUCCCAAACUGGUCAUCACAGCUCUAAGCAGGCUUCACCCCUGCCCCACUGGAGCCUCUUGGGAUCAUGGAACCUUGAUCUGAGCCCUUGCCAAGUGCUAACACGGGCCAAGCAUGCUGUGGAGCUUAGCAAAUGCCUGCUGCCCGUGAGAUGGAGCUGCUAUGUACAGGCCAACCCACCUCAGUUCUUCAAGCUCCCAGGGACUAUUCCCGUUGGUUUGUUAGUUGGGAAUUCUGCAGUGCCUGGGAUUCCUUGUUUUUUCAAAGUUUCUCUCCCUCAUCCAGGAAGCCUUCCUACCUGCUCAUGUGCACAGGGAUCCCUCUCCCUUCCAGACUCCCGUUACCUUUAGAAUUUAUGCCAUUCAGUUUCUCCUGAGCUGUUUGGUCUCUGUUUCCUAGAGUGAGUCUCCUGUCCCUCGAUUGAUGUCUUUGUUGUCUGGUGGUCAAGAGCUGGGCUUAAAACUCACAGCCUGUGUGUGAACUGGGGCUUCUCCACUUUCUCAUUGUGGGUAGGACCCUGGGUGAGUCAUCUCCCUCCCGGAGCCUUUGUUUCCUCACUGUUAAGUGGGGACAAAGUGCUGGGAAGAUGGGAUGAGUUCUUACUUAUAAAGUACUUAGCCCCGUGUCCAGCACAGAUUGGGUGCUUGCUAAGUGAUAUCCAGGGUCAAUCAUUACUAUUGUCCCCAGCCGGCAGAGCUGGGCUGGGGACCGGACCCUUCAAAGUGCUCAGCAGAGGCUGUCCCUGAAAUCCUGCAGCCCUUGCUAGGAGUGAGCAGAGAGUGGAGCCCAGGCUGGGGAAGGCCCCAGGAACCCUGCUUUCCGAGGAGGCAGAGGCCACCAGCUGCUUUCAGCCCGAGUGGAGACUCCUCCUGCCAAGAGAUGGCCAACUCCAGAUGUCUGCAGGCCGGGAGGGAGCCGGCUGGUCGGUGGGGCCUGAGGGCAGAGACAGGACUAAUGGGAGGAAAUUACACGGAGAGAUUUCAUCUCAGCUUGAGGAAGCACGUCAACCAGUCAGAACUGGCCAACCGUGGCCUGCCUGGGCUGUGGACAGAAGCGCUGAGCUCCCUGUCAGCAGAGGUGUGCGAGCAGAGGCUGGGGGCUCCCGAGGAGGGGACGGUGCUGAGGGGGCUUCCACCCGCAAGGCUCCUCUGAGGCUGUGCGCAGUCCUUUAUGCUUCCUGUGCAGCUCUGCCCCUCGCUCGGCCCCGCGGAGCCUAUGGCAGGCAUCUGAGCCACGACAGGCACCGAGGUGUCUUUGAGCAAACUCUAGUCAAAGCUAUGGACCAUCAGACAAGGAAAUGCCAGAAGUUCUACUGGUUCCUGAGAAGAAGCAAGGGCUACAACCAAGUAAGAAGACUUGAAUGAAAAUCUGUGAUAAUCUAAAACUUGGUAGUGAGUUUACUGAAGUGCAUCAAUGUUGUAAAUGCAGCAGUUCCCUGUUCCUGUGCGUGGUGGCCCAGAGGACCUGGCUUGACUGGGGGGCUCUAGAAUCAGUGUUGGAGAUCUCCCAGAGAAACCCGCAACCUUCCUGAUGAGGAAGCAGAUCCAGAAAGGCCAAGACGUGACCCUAGGACUGACCAGCAUGUGAGGGGCAAAGCCCCAACUUUGGUCUUCUAGCCCGGCCCCCGUCCUGGAGCCCUCUCGCGUAACUUCCUUUCCAAAACAGAGAGAAGCCCAAGACAGUGACUUAGAGCCCCUUUGGCAGUUUUGCUGACAAAUUUUUUGUUUUGAAGUGAGAUGUUCUGCUUUUAUUAAAGUCUUUAGGAAAUGAUAAGA